GUCGGCUGGUACGCUCCAUGGGAACCAACACGUGCAGGCGAGUUGGCAGGUAACAGGAGGACCAGGAUGUGGAGGUGAGAUGGCAGGAGGACUGGGGCGAGGAACCGGGAAGGUGCUCGAUGUAGCUGGCAGUCAGCUUUUGACCAGAGGCUGGCUUUUGUUUGUGGCAAUCUUAGUUCAAUUCAUGGAUCAUGUCAUCGCUUCAGGAAUCAGGAUGAGAUGGGACAGACAAAGAGCAGUAAGGAGUGGCUUACAUUUACAGGGCCCCUCACCUCCUCAUCCAUCUUCAUAGUAUUCACCUUCUCCUACACGAUUGUGAGACUCAUGCCACUGCAGCAAACAGGUGCACAUUUCACACGCUAUUUGUUUCCCUGUUUUGUCAUUCCACCAAGGUCCAGUGGUCAUCAUUAAUAACCCCAGGCCCUCUCACUACACGUCUCUAUGUCUCCAGGCUGAUGUUUCCUCCAGUCCGCUGGCAGCACUUCCAUGCUCAGAGCCUCUGGUGCACAGAGAAAUGAAGGAGUUAGAUCAGUCCAAAAAAUACAGGGAUCUAAAUCCAGACAGCAAGCUGUGUGAGCCUUCAGAAUACUAAACAACAUUAUGGUGAUUCUGUGCACAACAAACUAGAAAAUACUGUAUGUGUCACAUAGGGGUCUAACAAUCAAUUCUAUUGGUGUUUCAGAUUGUUCUACAAAUGGCAGGAGACUACAUGAUGUGAACUGAUAUAGAAAGAUACACUUUCUUGAGUUUUUCUGUAGUGGAUGGUUGUUGCUUUUAACAUUGAUUUUGUUGCGAGUUCUAAUAUUCUGCUACUGAUAAACCAGACUAAAUGGGUCAGUCAAAACUACACUGAAGUUACAUUGCAUUUAAAUGAAGAUGGAAGUUAUAAAAUAAAUAAAUUGUGUGUCUGCUUUGCAUAUUUAUCCCAUGUCCAUAUUCCCAUGGAUUGGAAGGUGGAGGGUUUGGGACUGGGUUCCAGUAGCCAGUUUCAUUUUGGAUUUGUUUCCCUGUUAGCCAAAGUCCCAGAUUCGUUAAAGCCCUCUCCAAUCAAAAAUGUGUUUUGCUCACUGUUACUUCACUUGAAUGUUUAUGGACCACGGUAUAAAAUUAUGCAUGUGCACAGUGUAACACUAGAGGGCUGUUCUUCUGUGCUUAUAUCAAAUCUCAAUUUAAUAUCUGCAUAUAUGAGCAGGGUUUUGUGACACCAAUUUUAGACAAUCAUGAUCCAAUAUGCAACUUAUGCAAGUGGGAUGUGAUCAUUUCAUAACGUCUUUCAAGUAAAAUGACCAAAAAUGGGGGUUUGGAGCCAAUCCGUUGCAGGUACCUGGAGCAAACUUUCAUCAACAUGGUUACAAUACAAUAAUAAACAAAAGUUAUGAAACAUGGCUUGAUUGUAUUUAGGCACAAAAAUAAUGAUAUUACAGUAGAUUUUGGAAGGAACAUGGUUUGGGUUGCAUAACAAUAAAAAAUAACUCUGGGUUAUAAUAAAAAAGGUUCUCUGUGCAGCUUAAGGGGGAAGAUUUGAACCCUUCAGAGCACAUACUCUAUACUGAGAAUGGCACUUUUGGCAGAGUAGGAGACAUCAUGAGUUCAGUACUUAA